UAAGGAAUAUUGGUCAAUGGGGGCAACCCUGAACCAGCCAUGCCGCGUGCAGGAAGACGGCCCUACGGGUUGUAAACUGCUUUUAUACGGGAAUAAACCUCUUUACGUGUAGAGAGUUGAAUGUACUGUAAGAAUAAGGAUCGGCUAACUCCGUGCCAGCAGCCGCGGUAAUACGGAGGAUCCAAGCGUUAUCCGGAUUUAUUGGGUUUAAAGGGUGCGUAGGCGGCCUAUUAAGUCAGGGGUGAAAGACGGUGGCUCAACCAUCGCAGUGCCUUUGAUACUGAUGGGCUUGAUUACACUUGAGGUAGGCGGAAUGUGACAAGUAGCGGUGAAAUGCAUAGAUAUGUCACAGAACACCAAUUGCGAAGGCAGCUUACUAAGGUGUUAAUGACGCUGAGGCACGAAAGCGUGGGGAUCAAACA
rnacentral:rRNA from 1 species